UUGGAGGGCAAGUCUGGUGCCAGCAGCCGCGGUAAUUCCAGCUCCAAUAGCGUAUAUUAAAGUUGUUGCAGUUAAAAAGCUCGUAGUUGAAUUUCGGGGUUAGUAGGUUGGUCAUGCCUCUGGUAUGUACUGGUCUCACUGAUUCCUCCUUCCUGAUGAGCCGUAAUGCCAUUAAUUUGGUGUUGCGGGGAAUUUGGACUGUUACUUUGAAAAAAUUAGGGUGUUUAAAGCAAGCUAACGCUUGAAUACAUUAGCAUGGAAUAAUGAAAUAGGACGUUUGAUCCUAUUUUGUUGGUUUCUAGGAUUGACGUAAUGAUUAAUAGGGAUAGUUGGGGGCAUUAGUAUUCAAUUGUCAGAGGUGAAAUUCUUGGAUUUAUUGAAGACUAACUACUGCGAAAGCAUUUGCCAAGGAUGUUUUCAUUAAUCAAGAACGAAAGUUAGGGGAUCGAAGACGAUCAGAUACCGUCGUAGUCUUAACCAUAAACUAUGCCGACUAGGGAUCGGAUGAUGUUAAUUUUUUAAUGACUCAUUCGGCGCCUUACGGGAAAC
rnacentral:rRNA from 1 species